rnacentral:lncRNA from 1 species
CACGCUUUCUUAGUCAUCUUCGACCUUGCUGACAUUUUCAAUGACAGGAUACGAAGACUUUUUAUAAACUGGAUGUUAGUACAGUAUAUGAAUAUAUGAUAUCCGUAGGAAUUUUAGGGGAUGCCCAUGGUUAGUUGGCAUGAGUAUAUGUAUAAGGUGGACAAUUGGAGUCUAGUCCUGUCCGAAUGACCUGAUGUUGGAGAAGAUGUCACGGGGGAGUUUACAAACUGUUUAGUUACCUGCUUAUACGAAACUUAAGAAAGAACAAAAAAAUAUUUCUACAGGAUGAGAGGCUUUCAGCCGAUCAGGUUACCGGAGGCUUGUCCCAAAAGGGGCCGCACGCUGAGGAUAUGGGUAGUAGGCGGUGCUUGAGAGCCUAAAGUUUCAUAGGCCAUCGUCAUAAAGGAGAAACUCCUACUACCCUAUGUAUAUAUAUAUAUAUUUAGUCAAUAAAUAUAUAUUUAUAUUAAAAUUUAAAUCCAAACUUGUCAAAUAAAUAAAAUAAGUAAUAAAUACUAUGAUAAAUAGAUAAAUAUUAUCAAAAAAAAUAUUGGUUAGACACCUGAUUGUAUAAAUAUAAAAUUAAUUGAUUAUACAU